AUUGAACGCUGGCGGCAUGCUUUACACAUGCAAGUCGAACGGUAACAGGCCUUCGGGUGCUGACGAGUGGCGAACGGGUGAGUAAUACAUCGGAACGUACCCAGAGGUGGGGGAUAACGCAGCGAAAGCUGUGCUAAUACCGCAUGUGAUCUGAGGAUGAAAGCGGGGGACCGAGCAGCAAUGUUUGGCCUCGCGCCUUUGGAGCGGCCGAUGUCGGAUUAGCUAGUUGGUGGGGUAAAGGCCUACCAAGGCGACGAUCCGUAGCUGGUCUGAGAGGACGACCAGCCACACUGGGACUGAGACACGGCCCAGACUCCUACGGGAGGCAGCAGUGGGGAAUUUUGGACAAUGGGCGCAAACCUGAUCCAGCAAUGCCGCGUGCGGGAAGAAGGCCUUCGGGUUGUAAACCGCUUUUGGCAGGAACGAAACGGUGCCCGCUAAUACCGGGCGCUAAUGACGGUACCUGCAGAAUAAGCACCGGCUAACUACGUG
rnacentral:rRNA from 1 species